UCACUUCACAGUAAAGGUAAUUGUUUUCCUUUCUUUUACUAAAGAAAAGUUUAAAAUUCAGUCAUAUAAAAGAGAGGGAAAAAAAACAUUAUUGCAUCACAUGAUGUGUAGUCAUGCGUUCCUCUUAAGUUUAACAUUUUUAAUUCAAUGCAGGCAAUUCAAAGAGCUCUUAAAUAAUAAGCAUUAUUGCAUCAUAUGAUGUGUAGUCAUGUGUUCCUCUUAAGUUUAACAUUUUUAAUUCAAUGCAGGCAUUUCAAAGAG